GUUACUUUAGCAGAUUAGUGCAAUUCAUUUAGAAUCUUUAUAUGUAUAUUAUAUAGGUAAUA
rnacentral:tRNA from 1 species